rnacentral:rRNA from 1 species
GUCCACGCCCUAAACGAUGUCAACUAGGUGUUUGGAGGGUAAAACCUUUUAGUACCGGAGCUAACGCGUGAAGUUGACCGCCUGGGGAGUACGGCCGCAAGGUUAAAACUCAAAGGAAUUGACGGGGACCCGCACAAGCGGUGGAUGAUGUGGAUUAAUUCGAUGCAACGCGAAAACCUUACCUACCCUUUACAUGUCAGGAACUUGCCAGAGAUGGCUUGGUGCUCGAAAGAGAACCUGAACACAGGUGCUGCAUGGCUGUCGU